UUCCGGUUGAUCCCGCCGGACCUUACUGCUAUCGGGGUGGGACUAAGACAUGCGAGUCGAGCGUCUCUAGCUAUGUUGAGACGGGGCAGACGGCUCAGUAACACGUGGCUAACCUACCCUCAGGACGAGGACAAACCCGGGAAGCUGGGGCUAAUACUCGAUAGGUGAGGAUAUCUGGAAUGAUUUCUCACUCAAAGGGCCUUGGAAACAUGCUUCCAAUGUCGCCUGGGGAUGGGGCCGCGUCCGAUCAGGUUGUUGGUGGGGUAACGGCUCACCAAGCCUAUAACCGGUACGGGCCGUGAGAGCGGUAGCCCGGAGAUGGGUACUGAGACAAGGACCCAGGCCCUACGGGGCGCAGCAGUCGCGAAAACUCCGCAAUGCACGAAAGUGUGACGGGGCUACCCCGAGUGCCAUCCGCUGAGGAUGGCUUUUCCUUGGUGUAACUAGCCGGGGGAAUAAGGAGAGGGCAAGACUGGUGUCAGCCGCCGCGGUAAUACCAGCUCUCCGAGUGGUAGGGAUGAUUAUUGGGCUUAAAGCGUCCGUAGCCGGCUUAGCAAGUCUCCUGUUAAAUUCAGCGACCUAAUCGUUGACCCGCGGGAGAUACUACUAGGCUAGGAGGCGGGAGAGGUCGACGGUACUUCU
rnacentral:rRNA from 1 species